CCUACAUAUUUUUUUGUCCAUCUCAAAUAUAUACACAGUCACAUGCAUCAGGGCCGUCUUUAAUGCGGAAAACAGGGCAGCUGCCCCAGUUACUCCUGAUGCCCAAAGAAGCUGUCCCAUGGGCCUGCUGCCCACUACAAUUUUUUUGCAGCAGAGCUACUACCAAUGCACAGCCCCGGGGCCUGCACGAUGGAGGGGCCCAUCGGUUACAAACCAAUUGUUAUUGCUAAGCACGGGCCCACUCGGGCGCCAUGGCCCUUUAAGAGCAACUGGUCCCCUGUAAUAUCGGCAGCAUGGGAGAAAGUGACAGCAGGUCAUGCGGGAGGGAGGAGGCAGUAAUGGAGAGGAAAGAAGCAGGAGAUGAGCUGCUGCAGACUCCCUACACAUCAGCCUCAGCCAGCAGCACCACAAGCAAGUCAUACAAUUGCAGGCAAAAGAUAUGCUAACAAUAGGGUGGCUGCAAAUAUAAAUUAUUAUUAUUGCAUCUGUGUGUCAGUGUGUGUGUGUCAGUAUGUAUCUGUGUGUGUAUCUGUGUGUAUGUGCCAGUGUGUAUAUCUGUGUGUCAGUGUGUGUAUGUCAGUAUGUAUCUGUGUGUGUUAGUGUGUGUAUCUGUGUGUAUGUGCCAGUGUGUAUAUCUGUGUGUCAGUGUGUGUAUUUGCGUAUGUUUGUCAGUUUGUGUAUCUAUGUAUCAGUGUGUAUAUCUGAGUGUGUGUGUGUGUAUAUGCCAGUGUUUGUAUCUGUGCUUUCCUGUGUGUAUGUGUCAAGGUGUGUGUAUGUAUCAAGGUGUGUGUAUGUGUCAGUGUGUUUAUAUGUAUAUCUGUAUGUUAGUGUGUGUGGGUGUCAUUGUGUGUAUCAAUGCAUUUGUAUUUGUUUGCAUGUGUAUCUGUGUGUCAGUGUGUGUAUCUGAGUGUGAGUGGGUGUAUGUGGGUGUAUGUGCCAGUGUGUAUAUAUGAGUGUGUGUGUAUGUGCCAGUGUUUGUAUCUGUGCUUUCCUGUGUGUAUGUGUCAAGGUGUGUGUAUGUAUCAAGGUGUGUGGAUGUGUCAGUAUGUUUAUAUGUGUAUUUGUGUGUUAAUGUGUAUGUAUAUCUGUGUAAGUAUGUAUGUGCAUACAUCCCAUCAAUCAAAC